GUUCAGGUGUGUCUCGUCAAGUACCCUCGUUUAGUCUGGUAUUUAAAGUGUAGUCUGUCCUGUGGCUCAGUGGUCCGGUGUAGUCCUUGUGCUACGUGCAGCAGAACCAUGAUAGAACAAAAACCGACAGACCUACAAAAGAAGUUUAUUUGCGUGUCCACCUCCGUUUGUUUUCUGUGUUUUUUUUGGGUUUGUUUGUUUGUUAGUUAGUUAGCCCUCUCCUCCUGAGCCCUAAAGUCCUUCCCUUCUUGGCGUGUGCGGUUGAGUUCAGUCAGGCUAUCAUCUAACACCUUUUUCAGAUCCAGGAGUACUACAAUCCUUUAUCAAGUGACCGCUUAAUAUUUUCUAAUAAUAAGCAAGUAGCUGUUUCUGUAGAGUGUUCUGUAUGUCUAAAGCCAAAUUGUAAAGGGUGUAAAAGUUUAUUUGUCUCUAAGUGAUGCAGAAAUUCUGAUACAACCUUCUCCACCUGGAAGGUCAUGUUUGUGAUAUUCUGCCAGAUAAUAACUGCAGCUUUUCUUAAGCUUGAGAGCCGAGAGAGAGAUCAGAGAGAUCAGCGGUGUGGUCAAAGUGGCCAGCGGUGACCUUUAACCCUGCUUCACUGCAGAGUAUGAAGUGGAUCAGCUACCUGAUGGAAGAGGCUCAUAAAAAGCCCAUCGGCGCGGCCAGACAGAGAUGUGAGGAGGCAAUCUGAGGAGAGGAUUGAGGACGGAGGACAGCAGUGACCGGCCAAGCAGACAGAUGAAGGACAGACACAGACCGAGGUUACACAGGUUUCUAUCAAAACUUCCUGCUCCACUGACCAGCCCAAUUAAUCCAGACAGACUGGAGAGAGAGAGAGAGAGAGAGAGGGAGAGAGAGAGAGGGAGAGAGAGAGAGAAAGAGAGAGAGAGAGAAAGAGCUGGUCUGAUUAAUGACUCUCCGCUGCUGUUUUAAUGCCACUGCAUCAUCUGCACCUCAGCGUUUGCUCUCUGACCUUUACAAUCUCUUCCCUGCUUGCCUCCAAAUCCCUGAUGGAUAUUUGAUCUGCUUAAUUAAAGACUCUGUGCUUGAGCUGGCAGCGUGAUUCCCAUCAUCCGCAGACGUCCGUGAGGGAUUUCUGAAUGAACGUGCAUCACUGGCAUCUGUGGCUCAUGAAGAACCUUUAACAUCCGUGGAAUCUUUCCACUGCUCUUUCUUUAUAGAAGAACAAUGUUUUUAGAUCAUAACAAUAUUAAAUUAAAAUGUUCUUUUAAGAACUGCUCACUUAAAUGGUUCACCUAUGGCAUCGCCACAAUAAAAGUUCUGGGAACUUUAUAUUUUAAGAGUGCAAAGAACAUUUGAAUAAUCUAAGAAUUAUUUUAUUUUAUUUUAUUUUGCACUGUAAAGAACCUUUAGUGCAAUGGAAACAUUUUAUGGAUGUUAAAGGUUCUUCAUGGAGCCAUCAAUGGCAAUUAAAAAAAUAAUAAUAUUUUUUUGAUGGGAAAAAGAUUCAUCCAAUUAUUAUUCAAAAGUUCUUGAAAAUGCUUAUUAAAAGAACUGUUCCACUUUUGGCAAACCAAAGUUGUUUUUAAUGGCAUUGCUGCAAAAUAAAUAAAUAAAUAA
ensembl:lncRNA